UACGUAGGGGGCAAGCGUUGUCCGGAAUUAUUGGGCGUAAAGAGCGUGUAGGCGGUCCGGUAAGUCAGCUGUGAAAGUCAAGGGCUCAACCCUUGAAUGCCGGUUGAUACUGUCGGGCUAGAGUCCGGAAGAGGCGAGUGGAAUUCCCGGUGUAGCGGUGAAAUGCGCAGAUAUCAGGAAGAACACCCGUGGCUAAGGCGGUUCUCUAGUACGGUACUGACGCUGAGACGCGAAAGCGUGGGGAGCAAACAGG
rnacentral:rRNA from 1 species